UUUUAAAAGUGUCAAAUCCAAGAUACAACCAAAAAAAAAAAAAAAUUUCAACUUCGUAUGUGGUACAAAUAAACUGAAAUUUCUUAGAAAUAGUAAAUAUGUUUUCCACCCACAAUUGACAUUCGUAAGUAAUAAAUAUGAUUUCUCCUGAAAGAAAGCUGAAACUUUUUAAAGAGCUAUUGCCAAGUUAGAAUUCAAGAAAUCAAUUAAGUAUCAAUUAUUCUGGCAAGUAAUAAUUAAUUCAUAAACGCUAUGCAGGUACCGACAACUCUUUCACACACCUGCUAUUACACAUUACAAUGAAAUUUAUUCGAAGAAUUUGGCAUCUGGCAAGUCGUCUGCUUUGACACUACAUUAGUAGUUACUCAACGUUGAGCGCGGCACAUAGUCUCCCACUGAGAAAACCCGGCCAUGUAUACAACCACCUGCAAAACAAGAAUAAGAAACACAGACUCCUCCACUCUUAGUCAGGGGCCUGAGUGCUGAGCUUUUGCUUUUCAUUAGAAUCUGCGGGAAAAGAACUGAAGAACGCCUGCUUGUGAGACGUAUGUAUUGACCUCAAAGGGUGAAAUGCAGGGCACUAUUUAUUCAGGUGAAAAAAUACAAAGCAUUGCGUGUUGUUCAGCAAUGAUCAAACAAAGAAGGUUCAAAAGAAUGUGCUCCAUGUGUGACUUUCAGAGCUCAACUCUGUACUUCCAGUAUUAAGUGGUGAGGCAGAAACACCACAGUUGUUAGGGCGCUGACAGUUUUAUUCACAAGGAACUUUCAAAUACAAGAUUUUUAUAAUUUUAUGUAUAAAUGCUAGAGAAAUACUAGGAAUGACUUCCUCUACGAUUAAGGUUAGCCGUUGGUUAUAGCUAGAAGGGCAUUAAUCUGCUGAGAUGAAUGAAUGAUUUUUACAAAUUAUUUCUGUUGUAAAGUUUCUAAGGAUGGACGCUAAUACUCUGUGCUUUGGGUUGCCUUUAGGUACCUACAAAUGGGUCACCAUAUUCUAGCAGGGAUACCUGAUUAGGGUGUCUUCAUCAGGGAAUUUGCCAAGUACCCAUUACACACUUGCUAGGUGACGGGUAGAAGACCCAAACCCUGACCGCAAAGAAUUUACAACUGCGAUGCCCCACUUCAGGACAAAUCCCUCCUCUGCGUAUCUUUAAAGCUUUCUGCAAUAGCCGGCUGUUAAUUUUAUCUUCCCUGGGUCUCGGUUUUCGUACCGUAAAAUGUAAUGAGGAUAUUAAGAUGGGUCACUUACAAGCCCCCUUUAGGUAUGAACAUUCUGAGAUGCUUUAAAAACUCACUUCAAGAGCUCUGAGGCUGAGGUUGAGCUGGAGUUUGAGAUAAGAAUGUGAAAUAUGGAGUUUUAAUAAACUGACGGAGGGAGGAGCACGUUCCAGGGAAAUGAAAUGGAGCAAAGCACAGAGGAGAGGAACUGACAUGGUGGUUUCGUAAGUCCAGGGAUGGGACAGACUUGCGCAAGUGGAGACGCUCCGGAGGGAAGCAGGAGAGAAGGGCGGCUGUCUUGGUAUCUUUCAGUAUCAUUGCCUGAGAAGUCAAGGAAAUUUCAAAGCAGAACUCUGGCAGAAAGUCCGCCUCACAGACACAGCCAGCCUGGGACAGGCACCGAAGAGAGGUUUCUUUUCAACAUGACCAGCGCAAAGAUGCAGUCGUCCGUUUGAUUAAAAAGUCAUCAGACGAGUCAAGCACAUCGUUACUAAAAGAGAGUUUAUUUCCUGGUCUGUACCAAAAGCAAAUAUACCUGCCUCCAUAAGGUAACAAACUGGUGGACCCAAAAAGAUUUACAACACACGUGAGAGUGUUUGAAAUUAUAUUUAAGGAAUGUUCAUAGUCUCCGCAAAACCCUAGCGUUGGCCAGCAUGUGGUUGGAAAGCCACUGCUCUCUGUUCUGGCCACAGAGGGCACUGUCUGGCACAGAUACUCUCUCUAGAGUAUUUAUCACUCAACAUGUGUUCUUUUAAGGAGAGCUGUUCAUAUGCUUGAACAACAGAACAUAUUCUUACACUUUAUUUUUUCAGUGCCUUUGAAAUAUUUAUAUAUUCAAAGAAGUGAAAAACCUAGUUGAAAUCCAUUUUUUUUUUCACUCUGAGUUUUAAAAUCACAGCAUCAGAUUGGAGAAUAGAUUAUAAAACUAAAACCUUUAUGAAUUCACUCUGUAUGUAUGGUACUUCAUUAGCACAACUAAACAUGGAUUAUAGUUGAGAGAAGAAAAAAAAGAGGGAGAGGGGAAGAGAGAGUGGAAGGCGAAGGAGAAAAGGGAAAGUGGAAAGAAGAAUAAAACAGGGAGCUCCUGUCAGUGGCUCAGCGGAA